UGAGGAAUAUUGGACAAUGGGGGCAACCCUGAUCCAGCGAUGCCGCGUGAGUGAUGAAGGCCUUCGGGUUGUAAAGCUCUUUUGUUGGGGACGAUAAUGACGGUACCCAACGAAUAAGCCCCGGCUAACUUCGUGCCAGCAGCCGCGGUAAUACGAAGGGGGCUAGCGUUGUUCGGAAUGACUGGGCGUAAAGGGCGCGUAGGCGGUUUGAUAAGUUUGGUGUGAAAGUCCUGGGCUUAACCUGGGGAUGGCAUUGGAUACUGUCAAGCUAGAGUCCGAGAGAGGAAAAUGGAAUUGCGAGUGUAGAGGUGAAAUUCGUAGAUAUUCGCAAGAACACCGGUGGCGAAGGCGGUUUUCUGGCUCGGUACUGACGCUAAGGCGCGAAGGCGUGGGGAGCAAA
rnacentral:rRNA from 1 species